UGAGGUAUUCUCAGGCAUGUGGAACCGUGAGCCAAUUAAAUCUCUUUUCUUUAUAAAUUGCCCAGUCUCAGGCAUGUCUUUAGAGUAGCAUGAGAAUGGACGAAUGCACCAUGACAAGCCGAUUUCAUUGGUUACCAGAUGCGUUUUUCGCUCUAGCCCCAGACCUGCAUACAUGGCAUAGGUGCUGACAGCAGGUGGCAGUGUGGAGCAGCGGCGUGACACCUGCAGGGCCCUCUGGGGACACCACACAAGGGCAGCCCCAGCGUCUGGGAGCCCGUGAGAUGUGAAGGCCGCAGGUAUCUCUCUAGCCAGCAGACCAGUGGUGGAAUUACAGCCUACUGAAGCAUCUCUGCUGCACUCGUCAGCUUGAUAAAUGUCCGAGGAAUGAACCAAAAACAGGAACCAUCUCUUCCAGCAGCUUCUCACCAUCGUACACCAUCGCACACACUUCCUGGC